GAUAUCCUGGGUUUAAGUGUGUGCAAUGUGUGUGUGUGUGUGUGUGUGUGUGAUUGCAUGUCUAGCUGGAUCACUGCUUGUGAGAAGCUAACACUGGCUCUUUUUCUCUUUGAGGGAGGCCCUGCGGCUGUUCAGGGCCUAAAUCUCAUAAUGGCUUCAAUAACAGCCCCAUAUCUUCGUGACAGCUAUUUCAAAGGCCUGGCGGGUUUAAUGUACUGUACACCACAAUUCACACUGACAGCACAACACAGACAAUAGAAAAUAGAUUAUAAACACCUUACCUCAGCAAAAAAAAAAAGGCAGGAUGGAAAUGGGAUCGUAAACUGAUUGGCAGUUUGGCACGAUAUGCCAUAAAAAGUGUUUUCAUAAGGACAGGCUCUACAGCACAGCUCACUGCUGUAGUUAAAGCUGGCAUAACUUGUUAAUAGCUUGUUUACAGUAUGAUAUGACAGCCCAAUGAAAGUGAAUUUUUUAAGAUCAAGGGGGAAAUACUAAGGUGUGGAUUUCACUGAAGGAUCACAUUAACAGCGUUAAACUAGUACUCCAGCACAACUUCACUAUGUUACUGAGAUACUGCUCUUUAAUGGUGUCUUAUAAAGCAGCAGAAAAAACACUUAUGUCAUGGAAUGACAGCCAGAUUCAAGGGGAACUGCACCAAUUUUACACUUAAAAAAAGGUUUGCAGGUCUUGGGCAUUGCAACUACAUAUGUGAAAAAAGUCAUAUUAAGCCUUUAGUGGCUCCAGUGUGAGCUGCGUGAAAUCUGAUGAAUAGACCUUUUUCACAGAAGCCAUUUUGACAGAAAAUAGUGGGGUAAACACAUGUGUACUUACGGUUCAGUUCCAUUCAGGUCAAACAGAGUCAGGGUGCUCUGCUACACUAAAUGGAAUGGAACCUUAAUUAGUAUCAUUGGUAACACCUGUGUUUACCCUAUUAUUAUUAUUAUUAACUCAAGUGAUGUCACUUUAGUCAGAGUCAGACUAUGAAAAUGCUGCUUGAGGCUAGCGUCUCAAGGCCACAUCAGCUACUACUAGAAUAAUAAACCCGAAUCUCUGACCAAACUGUUGACAGUUGAGUUUCAUUGUGGGUAAUUUAGGUGCCAAGUUUUGACAAGGAAGAAGAAUUUGUGGAAUAAGGAAUCUCUGCUUCUGCUGCAUCGGUUUUGAUCUUUUUGAACUUUCCAUGCAGUGCUAAAUCUGUGGAGAACUAUUUUCACUUUAUCCUGUAGACUGUGAUUCUUUCCAGAGCAGUACACCCACUGCCAGGGAGGGGUUAAAGGCUAAAUCAUCCAGUUGAAGUAUUGUAACUUGAUGGGCAGCAGCUCCACUCCACAAGAUGACAAUGAUACAUCUGGUUGGUUUUAGGUUUGUACACCUCAACUGAUGCUGCCAAAUGCCUUCAAAAUGUCUUCAUUGGACAACCACAACAAAAAUAAUUAACUGGGAGGUUACUUCAGGAAUCAGCAUUCAGGAAUCCAAAGAGUAGCAUGUGUCAACAGCGCUGCAAGGUCAAAAGGACAUGCCGUCUUUGGACACACACAGCCCUCUUCACUCAUCCUC